AAAUUACAGCAUUAUAUAGAAAGAAAGUUGUCAAAGUUAUAUUUAAAGAUACUUGUAGUUAUGAUGUUCAUUUAUUGAUGCUUUAUGGUAAUCAGCCGGGAGUGAUUUAUACAAAUUAAAGGUUUCCCGGUAUGUGUGUGUAGUUCUGUUGAACAGAGUAGUUGCUAUAUGUUUUGUCAAAUUUAUAUACAAGCAUUCGUGUGUUGUAUGUAUUUGUAAUGAAGACCACUGUGCAGGUCUUUUGAUUUUCUAUAAGGGAUGUGUAGGAAAUAACUUUCUCUGAAGAAAACUUUUAUAUUAUCAGUAUGAUUUAAUUAAUUGCUAAUAGAGUAUCCUAGAUGAUGAUGACAACAGGGCUGUCACUGUCCUUUUUGGUACAGGGUCCGGGUCCCAUUAAAUUGGGAAAAUUAUCGACGUUUUGGGUCAAAUUGGGAAAUUUUUACUUUCAUACAAUGAUUUUAAAAAACUAUUAAAACAUAAAAUGAUUGUUCUAAGAUAAAGACAAAAACAACAGAGUAAGUUCAAUUAGGUUUUAUUUUUCAAUUGAUCACCUAGCUGCCAAUCUAUAAAGAGACUAGAGCUCUCUCGCGCAACUUUUCGGGACUUGUCAAAAAUGCGCGAGAAGUUAUAAGUAAAAA